GGAAGGAGAAGUCGUAACAAGGUUUCCGUAGGUGAACCUGCGGAAGGAUCAUUGUCGUGACCCUGACCAAAACAGACCGUGAACGCGUCAUCUUGCCUGCCAGCGGCGGCCCUGNCCGUCGGUUGGCCAAAGUCCUCGAUAACCUCCUCUCCUCGGAGCGGGGGCUCGGGGUAAAAGAACCCACGGCGCCGAAGGCGUCAAGGAACACUGUGCCUAACCCGGGGAAGCGGCUGGCUUGCUAGCUGCCCCUCGUGUUGCAAUGCUAUUUAAUCCACACGACUCUCGGCAACNGGAUAUCUCGGCUCUCGCAUCGAUGAAGNAACGUAGCGAAAUGCGAUACCUGGUGUGNAAUUGCAGAAUCCCGCGAACCAUCGAGUCUUUGAACGCAAGUUGCGCCCGAGGCCACUUGGCCGAGGGCACGCCUGCCUGGGCGUCACGCCAAACACGCUCCCACCCCUCAUCGGGUGGUGGGAUGCGGCAUGUGGCUCCCCGUCUUGCAAGGGGCGGUGGGCCGAAGAUGCGGCUGCCGGCGUAUCGUGCCGGACACAGCGCGUGGUGGGCGAACUCGCUUUACUUACCGCAGUGCAUCCGGCCCAUAGCCGACGUGAUGGCCAUAAGGACCCUAUGAACGGAGCGCAUGACGCUCCGACCGCGACCCCAGGU
rnacentral:rRNA from 1 species